rnacentral:rRNA from 1 species
CAAGUCGGACGAGAAAGGAGACUUCGGUCUCUGAGUACAGUGGCGCACGGGUGCGUAACACGUAAGUAAUCUACCCUGAACUCUGGGAUAACCCUCCGAAAGGAGGGCUAACACUGGAUAGGGUCCCCGAGGUAUAGGCUGCGGGGGGAAAACGGGCCUCUGUUUCAUGCUCGUGGUUCAGGAUGAGCUUGCGGCCCAUUAGCUUGUUGGUAGGGUAAUGGCUUACCAAGGCGACGAUGGGUAGCUGGUCUGAGAGGAUGAUCAGCCACACUGGCACUGAGACACGGGCCAGACUCCUACGGGAGGCAGCAGUGGGGAAUUUUGCGCAAUGGGCGAAAGCCUGACGCAGUAACGCCGCGUGGAGGAUGAAGGCCUUCGGGUUGUAAACUCCUGUCAGGGGGAACGACGGAGCAAGGGUGAUAAGCCCUUUCCUCCAGACGGUACCUCCAAAGGAAGCCCCGGCUAAUUCCGUGCCAGCAGCCGCGGUAAUACGGAAGGGGCGAGCGUUGUUCGGAAUCAUUGGGCGUAAAGGGCGCGUAGGUGGUUCUGUAUGUCUGCCGUGAAAGCAUACGGCUCAACCGUAUUUUGUCGGUAGAAACUGCAGGACUUGAGGCUGGGAGGGGCUGGCGAAUUUCCCGUGUAGCGUUAAAUGCGUAAAAAUGGGGGAAAACACUCGUGGCGAAGGCGCCAGCUAAACCAGUUCUGACACUGAGGCGCGAUAGCGUGGGAAC